UUUUUUAAAGAUUUUAUGUGUUUUAAAAAAAAAAGAUUUUAUGUGUUUAUUUGACAGAGAGAUCAAGCCAGAGAGCACCAACAGGGGGAAUGGCAUAAGAAGAAGCAGGCUCCCCACAGAGCAGAGAGCCCAACAUGGGGGGGUUCCAUCCCUGGGCCCUGGGAUCAUAACCCUACCCAAAGGCAGACACCCAAAUGACUGAGCCUCCUAGGCGCCUGGGAUUUUGCAUUUCUAAUGAGUUCACUAGUUCCAAGCAACACUUUGAGAACUGCUGCAUGAGUUGCCAGUAUGGCCAUUGCUCCCACUGCCAGCCCAGCUCCCCUGCUUGCCAUCCUAUUGAGGAAAGGAUGGGGUUGCUUGACAGGUGGAGCUGAAUUCCACUGGGUUGGCAGCUCUUGGUAAAGAAAAUCAAUGGCCACGUAUAAACAAUGUUUAAACUGAAGUCACUGAAAUGCUCCCUGGGGAUCACAGGCUGCCUGCAGCCAGGAGGCAGCACCGUCCAACACUGUAUGUAAAAAUAAUGCAUGCCAACCUUCCUCCACCUAAGCCUCCAUGGAUUUUUAAACCACCUCUGUGGAAGGUGGUUCAAUCAAAGUGUUGGAUCAGCACCUAUGGGAAGAUACCAUCUUAGAGCCACAGUGAGUUAUUAGUUUGGGAGGCAGGACCCCAGUAAGACACUAGGUGUUAUUAUUCAUAUUUGGGUUACCACAGGGCAAACCAUGUCCCCAGAAAUAGAAAGCCAGGAGCCACAAAGAAGGGAAGAAAGCUAAAUGACAUGACUGGUAAAGUGGGAAUCUCGUAAUUUGGUCUCACAAAAUAAGAACAAUAGAAGAUUUCCACUGUGUUCACAUUUCUUACCCUUUAUGAUGUUGAAGAUCUGAAAUGUGGUUGCAGAUAGAUUGGCAGGGUUUUUUUCAAAUUACAUUUGCAAGAAACAAACAAAACUGAACCCAGGUUGAAGUUGGCUCUUUUAUAAAUAUGCAGCUGGUGAUAACACUGUCAGAAAUGAAAAAUCUUAGAUGAUUAGUAAGAAAUUGUUCAAAGAAAUAAUUCUUGCCAAACAAAACAUCAAUGAGAUUGAAAAUAAUUUCAUUGACAAAGCAUGUGCCUGUUAGGCAUUCCAGAGGAAUGUGAUGGGAAUAAACUUGAUUGAACCUUUAAAAGAGUUUCUACUUGUUGGGUCAGAUCUUCCUGCUAAAUCCCUCAUUGUUAAAAUGCUGUUUUGCUUUUCCUAACUGCUCUGGGCACACCCUCUUGAAAACUAUGCUAUAAGAAUCUGAGGAUUGCAUUGUAAAUGAGUUCCUGGAUUGCUCAAGAAAUAGUUCGGGCUAUAAUUUUAAAAAGGCUUCUGCUUGCCCAGGUCCCCUGCGAGAAGUUUAUCCAAAACAAAAAAAGAAAUUAACCUCAAAAGCAAACUUUGGAAGCACUACAAACGAGAAGCCAUAUGUACACCAUGUUGUCAGCAUUUCCUGAAGAAGCUGUGUGUGGGCUUCACUUCUCUUGGAUGAUAAUCUGGAAAUGAUGAAGAAUUUUAUUGUAGUAAAGGCCUAAUAAAAGUUAAGUAUUAUGAGUGUUCAUAAUAUGUUAAUUAUAAAUUAAAACAAUAAUAUAACUUUUCCAACCACAAAUUGGCAAAAAAAAAAAAUUUAAAGUAAGAACAUAGUAUUUGGUUAGGAAACGAGGAAACGAAUGAACUCUCAAAUUCUCAGUUGGCGGAAGUAUAAAUUGAUACAAUCUUUUUGGAACAAGUCGGCAGCGUCAAUCAAAAUUCCAAAUAUACCUAUCCUGUGGGGCAGGCUUCUAGAUAGCAUAGACUCUGGAUUCAGUGAGCCUGGGUUCUAAUCCUGACUCUACCAAUUGGAGCUGUGAGAUCUCCAGCAAGUCACUUUGUCUUUCUGGGCCUAAAUUUCUCAUCUGUAAAAUGGAGAUAAUAAUAGUAUCUAUGCUAUUAUAGAAUGAUAUUGUAAAGUGUUUACAAUUGUGCCUGGCAUAUGGGAAGCACCGUGUAACCUAACACCAUAAUCUAGAAAAAUAAUCUACAAACAUUCUACGAAUGUCUAAGUCUUAUGCAAUACUGCUUCUCACCGCAUAUAUAUGGAAACUAACACUAGACGUCCAUUGCUAAGAAAAUACGUAAAUAAAUCCUGGUAUAACUGUAUGAAUGAGUAGUUUACAGCCCUUAAAGAAUGAGAUAGAGCUAUUUGUAUGUACCCCAAGUGCAAUACACUGCUGAUAUGAAAACAAAUUAUAAAACAGUAUGUUACAUAUAAUCUCAUUAUUAUAAAAACAAACUCUGUGUGUGUGUAAGAAAAUAUAUGUCAUACUAACUGCUUACUUCUGAGGGAUGAGAUUAAAGCAGGGAAGAGGAAACUUUCACUUCUUACUUUAUAUACUUCAUUAUUGGGAUUUUUUAUUUUUUUAUUUUUUAAAGAUUUUAUUUAUUUAUACAUGAUCGAGAGAGAGAGAGAGGCAGAGACAUAGGUAGAAGGAGAAGCAGGCUCUCUGCAGGAGCCCGAUGUGGGACUCAAUUCUGGACCCUGGGAUCACUCCCUGAGUCAAAGGCAAAUGCUCAACCUCUGAGCCACCCAGGCGUCCCCAUUAUUGAGAUUUUUGACAAUAAACUCAAAUUACUUGUAUAGUUAAAAAAAUUUUUUUAAAUCAUUAGUCUGAGCAUAGUUUAGAUUUAAAUAAUUAUUCUCUCUCUCUUUUCUUUAAAAGAUUCACUCAUAGCCAUGGGCGGGUGCUACUGUUAUCAUUGAUAUAGAUGACCAGCCAGGAAAUGAGAUUGUAUGAAUAGUCCAUUUAAUUAAAUGUAUUGGCCACUUAGAUCUAUGUGAGCAUAAAAUGUGGAAACAUUUAUGAAAUAAGCUUUUGUUGUAAAGUAAAUAGAGGGUAAUAAGAUUUGGUCAACCUGUCAGAAACUUAAGCCCACUCGAUCCUAUAGAAAAACAAAUCUGAGAUAUUUCGAAUGUGAGGUUAUAUUAAACAUCGUAGCUUCAAACUGUGAAUCCAAACAAAUCAAUUAUUUUCGUUAAUUGUCUAAUGGAAAUCAGUGUAAUACUUGAAUGAGAACCAAGUAUUUUCCUACUCUGAGCAGCCAGUACUUUCUUCUAAAGCUAAUACUUUCAUUUGCCAAAUCAUCUUCAAAGGUACUGCCUGAUGGAAGUACUUCUGCAGUGAAGCAUCUCCAUGCUAGUGAAUGGAAUUGGGGCACGUGGAAGUUACAAGAGGCCUUAAAGAUUAUUGAGGUGGGUAUCCUCAUUUCACAGAGAAAGACACCGAAUUCAAGAAAGUUCAUGGGACUUUGUCAGAGCAAAACCAAACUAUAGUGUAGGUCAACUGAUCAUCAGUAUAAUAUGCCUUCUAAUACAUUACUUUCCUAGCACUUUUUGGUUCUCUAGUGUAAUGGUUUAAAAAUGCACAUGGCAAAAAUAAACAUAAUAUCACAUGGUAUAAUAAAUAUACAGAACACAAAAGUACCCCGGGAAAAGUUUUCCUACUAUUCCUAUGUUCCAAGCCUCAGUUCUCUUCAGAAAUAACCACUUAGCAGUUCAGUGUAGAGCCUUUCAGAGACACUAUAAAUUUCUAAGCCCAUGUGUGUUAGUGUGUGUAUACAGGUAGCAUAUUAUAUGUACUCUCAAGCUUCUUGUUUAUUUUUUUCCACAUAAAUAUGUCAUAGAAAUUAUUCCGUAUCAAAACAUAUACAUCUUCUCUCACCUUUUAAUGGCUAUGUAGUAUUCCAUUGUUUUUUAUGUCAUAAUAUAUUUAACUAAUCCCCUGUUGCUAUUUAGAUUGUUUCUAGUCUUUAUUAUAAGUAUGCUGCUAUGAAUGAAUAUUCAAAUAUAUAUAUUCGAACACUAAUAUAGAUGUAUGCAGAGUACACAUCAGAUAAUACAUCCUAGAUGUGGUAUUAUUUAGCCAGAGGGUAUAUAUAUUUAAUUUGGGUAAGCAUUAUUAAAUUUCCCUCCCAAGAGUUGUAUUAAUUUACAUUUCUACUAAAAAGGAUGGAGGCCUAGCAUUUGCUGUAUAUCGCCCAUAGAAUAGUCAUUGCUUAAAGUUUUUUGUGUUUUUUUCCCUGCCUAAUAAAUAAGAAGUUCCUUGAAGACAGAAACUAUAGCUCAUACAACUUGAUUCCAAUGCUCAUGACUAUUCAUAUUGUUAUUAUUCAGCAAAUAUGAGGGACUAGAACUUUGUUAAAAACUAAAAUACAAAAAUAGAAUUCUAGUUCCUAUAAUAGUAUAUUAGUUAUCUCAAUUACCAUUCUUCUAAGAAAAAGUAAAGUAAAAUUGGGAAGAAUAUUUUUUAAAAACUCACACCUUCCAAAAGCACCAAAGAAUGAGAAAUUUCCCAGUCAGAAUCCAGGAGAAAAUGAAAGUCUUGAGUUCAAAUCUGUUUUUUCCUGAGGACAUUUGCCUACCUGAAAGAAAUAACUAUCAAACUGCAUUUGUUUCUGGAGGUCUUUGAGGGCGGAGAGAACAAAAGUCAAAGCUCAGAGUUCACCAAAGGUUAGGACUCAUAUAAACCACCUGCUACUCUUAUGUCUCAAAGUAUUCCUAGAAAUAAUUUAUCAAAUAAAAUGCACAGCCCUUUAAUAUAUAUAUAUAUAUAUAUAUAUAUAUAUAUAUAUAUAUAUAUAUAUAUAUCAUGUAGGAAAUAAGAUACCAUGAGUGAGAACCAAACAAUAAGACUCUAGAAACAGACCAAAAAAGAACUUCACAUUUUGGAAUUAUCAGAUACUGACUGUAAAACAAAUAUCCCAAUCAAGUCAAAAAGAAAACAAAUGCCAAGUCUGAAAAUUUCAGGAAGAAACAGGGAAAACUGACAUAGUUUUGAAAAGGAUAAAUAUAAUUAAGAAUUGAUUGAAUGAGUUUCAUGGCAGAUUAGACAUAAGUGAAGAGGUGAUUAUUGAACAAAAGAAUAAGUCAGAAUAAACUUACAACAAUAUAGCACAAAGAGACAAAAAAUGGAAAAUAUAGAAGAAAGGGUAAGAGAUAGAAGAUACACUGGAAAAGUCUAACAUAUACUUAAUAGAAAUAAAUGCCAGAGAGAUAUAUAGGCCAAAAACAUUAUUUCAAAUGUUAUGGCUUAAAUGGCAGAAUUUUCCAGGAUAGAUUUAAUAAAACCUCAGAAUUCCAAGCAAGAAAAGGAAAAAAGAAAUAUAUAUUAAGAUGCAUCACUAUGAAAAUACUAGAAACUAAAGAAAAAGUGAAAAAUGUUUACAGCAACUAGAGAAAAAAGAUUUAUCUCCAAAAGUUCAACAGUUAAAUAUCUCAAGGGCAAACAUGAAAACCAAAGGAAAAUGGGAAUAUAUUUUUAUGUUCUUACAGAAAACAAAAACUACCAUAGACUCAUAGACACAGUAAAAUAUACUUUAAGCAUAAAAGUAAAAUACAGAAGUUUUCAGAUAAAUAAAAACUGAGAGAAUUCACAACCAGCAAAGGGGCUAAGGAAUUAGAGAUGCAAGAAGAAUUAAAUAGUUUUAAAAGUGGUAAAUAUGUGGUUGAACAUAAAUGUUGACUUUAAAAACUGCAGUAUGCAUGUCUUACACAGUUUUAAAAUCUAGAGAAUUAAGAUUCUCCCUAACUAUAUGAGUUGAAAAAAAAGAGGGAAUGUAGUUCAAUUAUUCUGCAGUCUUUGUAUUUAUUCCAGAAAGAGAGUAAAAGUGGUAACAUUAGAUUUGCUAAGUGAGGGGUGAAAGUUUUAAUUUCUAAGAGAAUAGAAGAGUCUAUGAUUUCCAAAUCAACAGAGAAGAAAAAAAUAGUAAAGAAAAAAAAUCAAUCCAAAAGAAGUUAAGAAAGGUGAGAAAAA
rnacentral:lncRNA from 1 species